UAGAGUGCGUUCGGGGCAGAAGGAAUUCCUGGUGUAGCGGUGAAAUGCGUGGAUAUCAGGAAGAACACCGGUGGCGAAAGCGUUCUGCUAGGCCGCAACUGACACUGAGGGACGAAAGCUAGGGGAGCGAAUGGGAUUAGAUACCCCAGUAGUCCUAGCCGUAAACGAUGGAUACUAGGUGUGGCUUGUAUCGACCCGAGCCGUACCGUAGCUAACGCGUUAAGUAUCCCGCCUGGGGAGUACGCACGCAAGUGUGAAACUCAAAGGAAUUGACGGGGGCCCGCACAAGCGGUGGAGUAUGUGGUUUAAUUCGAUGCAACGCGAAGAACCUUACCAAGACUUGACAUCCUGCGAAUCUCGGUGAAAGCUGAGAGUGCCUUAGGGAGCGCAGAGACAGGUGGUGCAUGGCUGUCGUCAGCUCGUGUCGUGAGAUGUUGGGUUAAGUCCCGCAACGAGCGCAACCCUCGUUUUUAGUUGCCAGCAUUAAGUUGGGCACUCUAGAGAGACUGCCGGUGACAAACCGGAGGAAGGUGAGGAUGACGUCAAGUCAGCAUGCCCCUUACGUCUUGGGCUACACACGUACUACAAUGCUACGGACAAAGGGCAGCAAGCUAGUGAUAGCAAGCAAAUCUCGUAAACCGUAGCUCAGUUCAGAUCGAAGGCUGCAACUCGCCUUCGUGAAGGAGGAAUCGCUAGUGAUUGCAGGUCAGCAUACUGCAGUGAAUUCGUUCCCGGGCCUUGUACACACCGCCCGUCACACCAUGGAAGUUGGUCACGCCCGAAGUCAUUACCCCAACCUUUGGGAGGGGGAUGCCUAAGGUAGGACUGGUGACUGGGGUGAAGUCGUAACAAGGUAGCCGUACCGGAAGGUGCGGCUGGAUCACCUCCUU
rnacentral:rRNA from 1 species